rnacentral:snoRNA from 1 species
GUGCAUCUCUGACAGACCUGGAGCAGUUAAUGUCUGCUGCUAAGGUUUCCUCUACAGAUGCAAGAAAAAGAAGGUCCUUGCACUGUCUGUCUGGUCGUGGCAAUCAAGAUUGAAUGGGGGAAUACAGGA